UACGUAGGGUGCGAGCGUUAAUCGGAAUUACUGGGCGUAAAGCGUGCGCAGGCGGUUCGCCAAGUCAGGUGUGAAAUCCCCGGGCUUAACCUGGGAACUGCGCUUGUAACUGGUAGGCUUGAGUGUGGCAGAGGGGGGUGGAAUUCCAGGUGUAGCAGUGAAAUGCGUAGAUAUCUGGAGGAACACCGAUGGCGAAGGCAGCCCCCUGGGCUAACACUGACGCUCAUGCACGAAAGCGUGGGGAGCAAACAGG
rnacentral:rRNA from 1 species